AUUGAACGCUGGCGGCAUGCCUUACACAUGCAAGUCGAACGGCAGCACGGGAGCAAUCCUGGUGGCGAGUGGCGAACGGGUGAGUAAAGUAUCGGAACGUGCCCAGUCGUGGGGGAUAACGUAGCGAAAGUUACGCUAAUACCGCAUACCAUCUAUGGAUGAAAGCGGGGGAUCGCAAGACCUCGCGCGAUUGGAGCGGCCGAUAUCAGAUUAGGUAGUUGGUGGGGUAAAGGCUCACCAAGUCGACGAUCUGUAGCUGGUCUGAGAGGACGACCAGCCACACUGGGACUGAGACACGGCCCAGACUCCUACGGGAGGCAGCAGUGGGGAAUUUUGGACAAUGGGCGAAAGCCUGAUCCAGCCAUGCCGCGUGCAGGAUGAAGGCCUUCGGGUUGUAAACUGCUUUUGUACGGAACGAAAAGGUUUGGCCUAAUAAGCUGAGCUCAUGACGGUACCGUAAGAAUAAGCACCGGCUAACUACGUGCCAGCCGCCGCGGUAA
rnacentral:rRNA from 1 species